rnacentral:tRNA from 1 species
GGGGAUGUAGCUCAGUGGUUGAGUACAUGAUUCUCACAUAUGAGACCCUGGGUUUGAUCUCUGGUUCCCCC